UUUAUCAUGUAUAUAAUGAUAGAUUCAUUCACUCUUUCUUCUUCUCAAAUUCUAAAUCGACUCCAAUUUCAUUGGAGCAAAGCUUCCCGACUUCAAAUUUUGUACCUCAAAAUCGGAUGCUAUCACAUCUUCAUAUUUACUUAUUUCAACAACUAUAAUUUUCUUGAUUAAAUUAAAUUGGUAACAUAAUCUUCAUUUGGCCCCAAAUGAAGAUGAACUUAUUGCGAUGGCAAACGCUUUAUUGGGGAGCGGCGAGUUCAACCCUUUUAAAGAAAAUCAUAAAAAGACAACCUGUCGACAGAAUUUUUAAUUCAAAUACUGAAAUCACUGGUGUUGUUUUGACUAGAAAAAGACAUUAAAGUGGUUCUAGUGAGCUUAGGCUCAAGUGGAGUGUUAACGGUCAAACUUCUUUAAAAUUCUCGUUGCCAAAACAAUUCAAAGAAUUGUAGUGAACAAAUAUUCAAUGAUGUUAUGGAUAACAAUUGAUAUUCUGUAUUUUAAAAAAAUGUAGAAGCAAUCUUGUCUUUGCUAUGCAUUUUCCUUCACUUUAUGCUUCAGUUGCGAGGUUUACUGAGGUUGGUGAUUUCUUGGUUGGUGGAACACUCUCAUCAAUUUGUGCAAGAUUAAAUAUUAUGCAAAGUAUGUCUGUUGGCAUUACAAUUGCUAAUGAUGUUGUUGAGGUGGAGUCAAAUCUCCUCCUGCUUUCAAUUUAGCUACCAUUGCUGACGACACAAGUGAUAAGGAUGACGUAGGUGAUGAACAUCAAGAGAACACAUAUGUGAUGAACUUCAAGAGGACGACAGGUGAUGAAGAGGAUGAUAGAGAUGACGAUGAGUUCAACACACUUAAAUGAGUUGGAUGAUGUUGUUUUAAGCUUGUACUUAAGCAUUAAACCUAGAAAACUAUGUAUUUUGUCAUUUUUCUAAACUUAUCUACCAGCAUAUAUAAAAACUGGUUAUCGUCAAUUUUACAUUACUAACCAACUAAAAUUGCCUUAGAUUGCUUAAUUCAUUGGUAAUUAUGUAAUUAUCGCAUGACUAAUUUUCUGAAUUCAAAUUGUUUUGAAUUCUUUGAAUAUUUUAAUAAAUUAUUUAACCAUCAUUACUGUUUUGAC